rnacentral:rRNA from 1 species
AGCGAACGCUGGCGGCAGGCCUAACACAUGCAAGUCGAACGAACUCUUCGGGGUUAGUGGCGGACGGGUGAGUAACACGGGGGAACGUGCCCUUGGGUUAGGAAUCACUCAGGGAAACUUGUGCUCAUAACGAAUGUGCCCUUCGGGGGAAAGAUGUAUCGCCAUUAGAGCGGCCCGCGUCAGAUUAGCUAGUUGGUGAGGUAACGGCUCACCAAGGCGACGAUCAGUAGCUGGUCUGAGAGGAUGCCCAGCCACGCUUGGACUGCGACACGGCCCAGACUCCUACGGGAGGCAGCAGUAGGGAAUCUUGCGCAAUGGGCGAAAGCCUGGCGCAGCCAUGCCGCGUGAAUGAUGAAGGUCUUAGGAUUGUAAAAUUCUUUCACCGGGGACGAUAAUGACGGUACCCGGAGAAGAAGCCCCGGCUAACUUCGUG